GGGUAUAGGGGCGAAAGACUAAUCGAACCAUCGAGUAGCUGGUUCCCUCCGAAGUUUCCCUCAGGAUAGCUGGAACUUAUGAGAAAGUAGUUUUAUCAGGUAAAGCGAAUGAUUAGAGGUUUUGGGGAAGAAACUUCCUCGACCUAUUCUCAAACUUUAAAUAGGUAAGAUUUGAAGGAUACUUAAGUGAUCUUUCAAUCUCUUGAAUAUAAAGUUCUUAGUGGGCCAUUUUUGGUAAGCAGAACUGGCGAUGUGGGAUGAACCGAACGUUAAGUUAAAGUGCCAAAUAAUACGCUCAUGAGAUACCAUAAAAGGUGUUGGUUCAUUUUGACAGCAGGACGGUGGCCAUGGAAGUCGGAACCCGCUAAGGAGUGUGUAACAACUCACCUGCCGAAUGAACUAGCCCUGAAAAUGGAUGGCGCUUAAGCGUACAACUUAUACUUAACCCUUACUUGAAUUAUUAUAGCGAGUAAGGAGUAGGAGGGCGU
rnacentral:rRNA from 1 species